rnacentral:misc_RNA from 1 species
AAUAUGCCAAAGGAUAAGCCAUG